rnacentral:lncRNA from 1 species
GAAGUGUCCUCACUCCUUAGCAGUUUGAUGCUUAUGUGAAAAUGAAAUGACAUGCCUGAGACACCUAGACUUUAUUCCGUUGAUUCACGUACCAGUAUACAUCUCUGUUGCCUUCUUGUUCACCGCUAGCUCUUUGUUGGUUUUGAUGAAACUUCUUGCUUUCUGUUCACUGGCCAAUGAUGUCCUAAAAGUAAAAUAUCUGAC